CUUUUCCUCCCAGAGCCAGCCGGGCGGUUGCUGCGAGCCGGUUCUACUUCCUGAGCAGGGGGAAGGAAGCCGCUCUUUUAAAACAACUGCAGUAGCCACGUGAGCCGAGCGUCUCACCCCAGCUGAUAAGGCAGAUCGUCGAGACACUUGGUUUGCGACACUGUCGUCCCCCCCCCGCCGCCCCCGGGGACACAGACCUUGGUGGCAAGGCAAAUUUGCAAUCUGCUCCCGUUAAAAAUGGUGAGCAGUGACUGCAGAGUUGAGGAAAAACCAGGGUAAUCGGAUAAAACCUGUUGAGGACGUCGGAGCAUGGCACCUGCAUAGACUAGGGGAGGGAAAAAUCGUAAUAUAGACGCUGUUCUAAAUCGAGCAUCUGUUUAUUGUUACUGUGCAGGAAGGCACGCCCUAGCAACUGUGUGGAGAGAGGUUAAAGGGCCGUUUGAAGGAGUUGGUGGGAUCUGGGGAUCGAAAUGAGGUUGGCAGGUUUGCUCAGCAAGUGCCUGCCUUUUUCCCUCCGAGACUUCUGGCUGCCAGCACCGAUUUCUGUGAAGCAUAUAUUUCUUUUAAGCAUAGUCGCAAAAGUGGUGUCGCCGAAGAUAGCCUUGAACUGCUGAUUCUCCCUCCUCAGGUCCUGGGAAUUAGUCUUGGGCCACCAUGCCUAAGCUUUUUGUUAAUUGAAGGGGAGCGGGGAAUGAGUGAAGUUUGGUUUGAUUUUGGUUUUUUUCCAGACAGUUUGUCGGCAUAGCACCCUUGGGCUUGUCUCUGUGCUGUAGACCAGGCUGACCUCAAACUCAGAGAUCUGCCUCCCAAGUGCCGGGAGAAAACGUGUGUGCCACCACCUAGAUUUCAGUUACAGAUGAGGGUCAGACGGAGAGAAGAGGCUCAGAAUUGCAGAUGUGUGACAGGAUCUGAGAAUGGAAAUAAAUUCAUUUGGGCUGGAGGGCACAGAGCCAUACUGUACUUUCAUGUAUAGCAACCAUUACUUUCUGAUCAUUGGUUUCCUGUUAUUAGGGUUUCUAUCCCUGGUGCCUGGCUUGUUUAUACCUCAGCGCCUACCACCAGACUUUAUUGACCUUUUAAUUAUUUAUUUAUUUUGGUUUUUCAAGACAGGGUUUCUCUGUGUAGUCCUGGCUGACCUGGAACUCACUGUAGACCAGGCUGGCCUUGAACUCAGAAAUCCGCCUGCCUCUGCCUCCCAAGUGCUGGGAUUAAAGGUGUGCACCACCACCACCACCACCUGGCUUAUUGACCUUUUUAGAGAGUUCAGCAACGUAGCCUCCUAGUCUAAUGCUUCCCUGGUCGCUCCCCCACCCCCUUCACUAUACCUCCAUCAACCAAAAAAUAAACUUCAACUUCUGUAUGGU
rnacentral:lncRNA from 1 species